UGAGGAAAAGGAAAACAACCGGGAUUGCCUUAGUAACGGCGAGUGAAGCGGCAAAAGCUCAAAUUUGAAAUCUGGUACCUUCGGUGCCCGAGUUGUAAUUUGGAGAGGGCAACUUUGGGGCCGUUCCUCGUCUAUGUUCCUUGGAACAGGACGUCAUAGAGGGUGAGAAUCCCGUGUGGCGAGGAGUGCGGUUCUUUGUAAAAGUGCCUUCGAAGAGUCGAGUUGUUUGGGAAUGCAGCUCUAAGUGGGUGGUAAAUUCCAUCUAAAGCUAAAUAUUGGCGAGAGACCGAUAGCGAACAAGUACAGUGAUGGAAAGAUGAAAAGAACUUUGAAAAGAGAGUGAAAAAGUACGUGAAAUUGUUGAAAGGGAAGGGCAUUUGAUCAGACAUGGUGUUUUGUGCCCUCUGCUCCUUGUGGGUAGGGGAAUCUCGCAUUUCACUGGGCCAGCAUCAGUUUUGGUGGCAGGAUAAAUCCAUAGGAAUGUAGCUUGCCUCGGUAAGUAUUAUAGCCUGUGGGAAUACUGCCAGCUGGGACUGAGGACUGCGACGUAAGUCAAGGAUGCUGGCAUAA
rnacentral:rRNA from 1 species